rnacentral:rRNA from 1 species
UCCGCCAGGAUAUUACGAGCACUAGCUUAAAACCCAAAGGACCUGACGGUGCCUUAAACCCCUCUAGAGGAGCCUGUUCUAUAACCGAUAAUCCCCGUUAAACCUCACCAUUUCUGGUCAACCCAGCCUAUAUACCACCGUCGUCAGCUAACCUUGUAAGAGAAUAAAAGUAAGCAAAAAGAGCACAACUCAGAAUGUCAGGUCGAGGUGUAGCAAACGAAAUGGGAAGAAAUGGGCUACAUUUUCUAUAACAGAAUACAACGAAUAUGCAACAUGAAAUAAUGCUUAAAGGAGGAUUUAGUAGUAAAGAGGGA